AUUCACACCGAGACAUGGAAGCAAGUUUUGGGGCCAUUUGAUGUGUGUGGUUAAUGUUUCAGCCCCAUUUCUGCUUUCUCAUUGGUGGCAAGCUUUCAGUGCACGGCAGCAGAGAGGAUAGGUUUAUCCACUGUCUGUCAAUCCAGUUCACUGCUUUGCGAAGAAGGAAACCGAAUGUGGGUUAUCAAAGAAAGAGUGAAAAGUAAACUGUGAGAAGAUAAAAAAUUGUUUUACAGCCGUAAAGACCUUCUUUUCAGUUCAUGCUGUCCAUCAGCAUUCGGCUUCAAUCAGCUGGGUUUCCACGACAACCCGCAGAGUCAAGACAACGGAAGAGCCACCCCGAUAGCGCGCAGAACGCCCUGACUUCCUAUCAGCUUCUUACCCCGACUCUUUCCAUCACCAUGGACACAAAAACAUCCCAAUUCAUUCGCUGUUAUCCACAUCGGGUCGUGGCCUCGAUUUUCCACUAUUGUGGAAGCACACAGACAUGCACACCCUGGGAGAGUAGGACAAAGACACAUGUAUGCACUCACAGGCCUUGGUCUGUGAGUGAAAAGAGGGCGGACAGCCUUAGAGGCUGGUUUUGGGGGUUAAUCAAGAUUCUAACCAUUCACUGGUCACACUAGCAGCCCUUUAAUGAAGUUUCCCAGAAGGAAGGAAAGUUCUAAAUGGAACCAACAUCCUUUAAACUUCUGCUCCGAGUUCCUAAGAUUUCUGCAUGAUGAAGACUGUAAAGGACUAUUUAUAGACUGUGAUA